rnacentral:rRNA from 1 species
GAAUAUUGGACAAUGGGGGAAACCCUGAUCCAGCCAUGCCGCGUGAGUGAAGACGGCCCUAGGGUUGUAAAGCUCUUUCAAUGGUGAAGAUAAUGACGGUAACCAUAGAAGAAGCCCCGGCUAACUUCGUGCCAGCAGCCGCGGUAAUACGAAGGGGGCAAGCGUUGUUCGGAAUUACUGGGCGUAAAGGGCGCGUAGGCGGUUUGUCAAGUCAGAUGUGAAAGCCCAGGGCUCAACCCUGGAACUGCAUUUGAGACUGACUCACUUGAGUGUUAGAGAGGUAAGCAGAAUUCCCAGUGUAGAGGUGAAAUUCGUAGAUAUUGGGAGGAAUACCGGUUGCGAAGGCGGCUUACUGGCUAACAACUGACGCUGAGGCGCGAAAGCGUGGGGAGCAAACAGG